rnacentral:lncRNA from 1 species
AUGAAAAGAAGUUUAUUUUUAUUGAGCAGCUUCCUGUGGUUUUCUCGCCAUGCUCUAAGGGCUUUGGAGAAAUUCGUCAUGUUGCUGGCAGUGCAGAAUCUGCUUUGUGGAGAAGUCGGGUUUUGGAGAUGGGAUUUUCAGCCAAACAGCUUUUUUAUGUCUGGAAAUGGAUUGCCAGAACUUUUCUGCAGACCUUAUACCCUGACUGAGCAGUCCAGUACCUCCCCAGAGCAUGCAAACUGGCAUCUGCUGGCAACUUCACUGCUCUCCUGUCAAACCACAAACAGGGAUUAAUUUAAGGUAGUUUUAAUACAUCAACUGAUUUCCCUCACAGUCUGCUCUUGAGCUGUGCAAGUCCUCUUUGGCUUUGCCUAUGCCUGGGAAGAUGAGGAUCUUGUGUCCUCUGGCCUGAGUAAAGGAUGUUUUCCAGAAGCAGGAGUGUGCGGCUUGGGGGUUCAGUGGGGUGACCCCCACCUUCUCAACAGAUGGCACAGACUCCUGCAGUGAGCCUGUCCCGUCUCAGGUGUGGCCACCUGGGCCUUGGGACAGUUGGGUCAUUACAGAAUCCAGAGGGAGGGAUGAGGAACAUCACCAAUGCCCAGGACCAAAGUGAAGAACCACGCUGUUUCUUUUAACCUGGAGAAGUUAUUUUCCAGGUGGUCUGAUAAUUGAACUAGUUUGAAUUAAGCAGUACUGGUACUCUGUGGUGAUGGUGGUUGGUUAGCCAGUGGCUGCUUUCAGUCUUGAAAGAAAGGAGCUUGAAUGUUGUGCGCCUUAGGAUUUCCUUAGUUGAAAUAUUGUCUUAAUCAAUAAAAACAUAUGAGGCACAGUUGUUGGAAAGGGC